rnacentral:lncRNA from 1 species
CCGCCGCCGAGCCUCUGCCCUAGUCGAUCCCAGAAGAGCCAGAAACUCACUGUAGGAUCAGCCAUGAGGCCACAAAGGAAGCACAGCCACGGCUUGGUGGAGACUCGCUGGGGGUGCGGGGGUGUCCAGGGGCUGUUCAGCUCUUGGGUUUGCAGACACUUCUAGAAGCUGGAGUGCUUUUUGUGGCUUUGUGUCCCCUGGCCAUCCUCCAUGUCCUCUGGGUCCUCCACAAACACUGGCUCCCAGCUGGUUGAGGUCCGGAUACUGGAAGCAGCAACAGGCCACAGCGCACACACUACCCCUAAACUGUCCACUGAAGGACUUCAGAGAGACUGUUGGUAAUGUGCUUGCCACGCAGGAGCUAUGACCCAGUCUGUUGCUGUGGAGGGAUGCGCACAGGAGCUCACAGGAACUUGAGGGAAUGCUGACAUCAGCUCAGCUUCUCCAGCCACCGAAGCCCUGGACAGACCUGCAAGAAGUGCAGAGAGGAUCAACACACAAGCCUCGAGUUGGGCCUGGAGCCUUCAGUAGCAGGCAGCUGGAGACACCACCACAGAAAUGAGUUUUUAAGACCCUGGGCUGAGUGUCCAGGAACACCUAUUCUUCUGUGGGAGGAAAGAACACAGCUGUUUACCUCCUGUGCCCGAUCCAAACCCAGCGAAUCCACUGCUCGGGGUCCCAAAGCCUGAGGUCUGCUGGGACAAGGACCCGAAGGAGCUGUGGUGACAAGCUUGGACCGAGUCAACAGACUCAGAGGAAACCGGCUUCUAGCCCAGAGUAAGCCUUUACCGUGGCUCUGAGAAGGAAGACAUCAGAAACAUAGUGUGAGAUCCACCUGGGGACCUGAGUCCUUAGCACUGACUAACUCCAGGUCCCUGAGAGCAAACACACUUCCCGCUCUCCUCCUGGACACCCUCACUGAGAGCGACAUUCUCAUCUCUUCACCACCUGCGUGGCCUCAUCCCUGCCAGUCCCCCUCUGCCUUGGCGACUCUAUGUUGCCUAUGCUGGCCUCAAAUACUCCUCCUGCUUCAGCCUCCUGAGGGCUGGUUUCACAAGCUAGUGCUGUGGAGUCUGGUGAUUCCACUCCUUCUAUCCUUUGCUGGGAUGUGUGUCACCACACCUGGUUACAGUGCGAAGUGCAAGCUAAGGCUUCCUGAGGGCUCAGCACGCCUCCCACUGAGCUGCAUGCCCAGCUCUCCACUCACUUUUUAGUAAGACUACGUGUGUGUGAUGUGUGUGCGGAUGCUGGCAUGCGUGUGACAGAGUGUCAUGGUGGUCAGAGGACAACUGUAGAGAAUACAUUCUUUCCUUCCAUCAUGGUUUGAGGCAGCAGCUUUCACGGUGAGGUGAGUGCUUUUACUUACUAAGCCUAUCGGUGGCCUAUCUGCUUUAAUGACUUGGUUUACCAAGGGCCCCCUGCAUAUGAGAUAUGAAGAUAAGUCAUCAUGUUUCCCUUUCGUGUGUGUGUGAGGGGACACUUUACAAGUUAUUUCACGCAGAAUUGUGUUUCAUAAAAAUCAAUAAAUACACGAAGC